AUGGUAUCAGUGCCACUGCUUGAACCGAGCAUUGGUCGUUGUGAAGGUGGAAGAAUGUAACGGGUAGGCACGCGAAGGACACCUGACUCGGUUAUGUGUGUUGAUCCCACCGUGUCCUAAGUUAUAGUAAGCAAGCAUGCCAAACCCAUUUUUAUAUAGCCAUGAAGAUUAGAUAACCUGGUCUUAAAAAAAGGCCACGUUGGAUUGAAAGGUAUCUGUGAAGGGUGGAUGACUAGUUGCAUGUUUUGCUUUUGGGAUAUUUUAUGAAGAAAAAAGAGUCAUCAUCAUAUGCUAUUGAUAACACUAUUCUAUGGGGGGAGAGACAAAAGAAGAUAGAGAGAGAGAAAGUGGUGAGAUUCAAUGGAAGAAGAAUUAAAGAAGUAAAUGAACAUAAAAUAAGUGGUGACAAUUGAGAGACAGUUUCAAGUUGAUGGGAGCUGGUUCCAAAAUCCAAUCUGCCACUUCUUUCCCCCAAGUGAUGUGUGAAAUGAAAAUGUCAUAAAACAAAAAGAUCUUUUGGUGGCAUCUUAAACGCGUUGAGUUUGGAACUUUGGAUUAUGUCGGUGUUUGGGCCGAAGAAUUGUAAGCCCAUCUUUUUUUUGUAGUAACAAGUUUCGGCCUUGGGCAGCUCUAUAGCCCUUUGGAGUCUCAUCAAUCAUUUGUUUUUCCGGUCAUAAAAUUAAAUCA